GUGUCUGUAUGUAUGUGUCUGUAUUUGUGUGUGUCUCUGUAUGUAUGUGUCUGUAUGUGUGUGUCUGUACAGACACAUACAUACAGAGACACACACACAUACAGACAGACACA
rnacentral:miRNA from 1 species